GCAAAGAGAAAAAGAGAGAGAAAGAAGGGGGUUGUGACAGAGGAAAUGAUGGUGUCAUGAUCUCUUAAGUACCUGUAUCAUAACGGAUUUUGUGGACAGACCAGAGCAGUUUGGGUGCAAGAUUGUGGAACAAAGUGUGUACUGAAGAAGGCAAAUUAAAGAUGUCAGUCUCACAUAGUCGUUCUACAGCUCACAUCUUCUCGUCCAAUAAUCAUUCAUGCUCCUCACUGGUCAACACCAUGGCUUUGGCUCCCGACUCCACCACUUCAACAUCCAGUAACCUGACUGCUCACAUUCCACAGAUGGAAGGACCAUACGGCUAUUCGAUGGGGUCUCAGGGACUCUCCAGGACAAAUGAUAGGAGCGGUGAGCAGAUGAUGGGCAUGGCGUAUUUGCCCUAUUCGACAUGCUCAAACUCAACAGCGGAAAGACCAGCACAACACAGCCACAUUAUACAACCGGAGUUUUCUCAGUUCCUUCUUCCUCCACCUCCAUCCACAUAUCGACAGCCAGGUCAGAAGAGAGGUCUGAAUAAGGACAGCGUGGAAUACCGGGUGAGACGUGAGCGCAACAACAUCGCUGUGAGGAAGAGCCGGGAUAAAGCACGUCGGCGUAUCCAGCUCACUCAGCAAAAGGCCUUGGAACUUCAGGAGGAAAAUCAUAGGCUGCUACAGCACAUCGAUCAGCUUAACCAUGAAGUGGACAUGCUCACUCGCCAUCUCUCUCAUCGCCACAUACCGAGCAAAGUCAGUGACAUAGGAGUUGAAGAGCACUGUUGAGUGACCUUAGAAACUCACUUACCUUAGUUAUCAGCCUCUUGCUAACUGACACAAUGACACAGGAUUUUUGCAUGGGGAAGAGCAGAGGCCCAGCUCUGGUGGGACGGGUAUGAUUUCAUCAUUGUGUGGGACACAGAACUGGAGAUACCAUCAACAAGCAUGGCUUUAUGAGCCUUCCUGUGGCUGCCACUGCAGUCAGAGGACACACAGAUAGCGAGUGGGAAGUGGACAUGCAUUAGGUUUCUACCCCAAGCUAAAACUAAGCCAUGAGAGCAGAUGUCUGGAGCUGAUAACACCAAACUGACAGGUUGUUAGAGCCAUGAGGGAAAACAGUGAAAGAGCAGGGGGAGAAGAUAGGAUUGGAGCGGAAAAUCUUCAGAGAUCUUACAAAUAUACCUGAAUAUAUGGUGAAAGAACUUUGUGCUCAAAUGUUUGUUGCACCAAUCUCUAUGGGGUAAUAUGUGGUUCAAGGCCUGAAAUACGGCCACACGAUUAGGAAAGACAGUAUUUCAGCUCAGUCUCAGCACCUCAAAACCCAGUGUUACUCAACACCAAAUGACCAAUGACUUGCAAUUAUUUAAAAGCCAAUAAAUCUAGAGUGAACUUCAGUAUUUCUUUGUAAUUGUGAAUAAGAUAAAUGUGAUUCUACAAACCACUAGAACGGAAAAAUACGAGUGAUUAACAGAGAGUGAGAAAGUACCUUGAAGAGGAGAUGAACACGAAUGUGAAGGAGAGUUUAAGUAGUGGCACAAAUACUCCUUAAUCACAUACUUUUCACAUGAUCAAAGUUUUCAAUAAUAAUAAUAAUAAUAAUAAUAAUAAUAAUAAUAAUAAUAAUAAAAA